GGACCGUCUCCCAAGACGGACCCCUGCGGCUCCGUGUGCCGCCCCCCCCCGCCCCCGCCUCAGACAUGCUCCCUCUCUGUGUGCCCCCAGGACAGCCCCCACUCCGUGUGCGCCAUUGCAUGGCCCCCCCAGACAGAUCCCCCCACUCUGUGGGCCCCCCUUAGGCCUCUCAGGACAGCUCCCCAGCGCUGUGUACACCUCCAUGGCCCUCCGAGACUCCAUAUGUCCCCCCUGCCCGGGACAGAUGUGCCCCCCCCGGAUACGUAUGCUUCCCCCCUGCAUGUCCCCGGCCUGGGACAGCCUUUACAUUCUGUGUGCCCCCCUCACUCCUCCUGGGACAACCCCCCCUCUCUGUGUGCCCCCCUCCAUAGUCCCCCAGGACAUCCCCCCUGCCUCCAGUGCCCUCCCGCACAGCCCCCCGGAACAGGCCCCCCCAGCUCUGUGUGCCCCCCUGCCUGGGACAGACCCCAUCACCUCCUCCUCCCCUCCCACCACUGCACAGCCCCCCAAGACAUACCCCUUUGACUUCAUACUCCCCCCCCCCCCGCCCGGGACAGACCCUUGCUCUGUGUGCUCCCCCAGCCCUGCCCUGCCAGGAUAGCCCCCCUGUGCUCCAUGUGCCCCCCACUGGACAGCCCCCCCACGGCACCAGCACCCUUGCUCCAUGUGCCCACAAACAGGGAUCAGGCCGCCCCAGCCUGUGUGCCCCUCAACAGGGAUCGGUCUCCCCUGCUAAGUGUUUCUCCCCCAACAGGGACCAGCCCCUAGGGUGACCACCUUUGUCGGACGGAAAUAAGGGAAAACCAUAUGAAAGGAUGGGACCCAGGUAAGAGGAUGGAGGAUCAAUGGACCACUACCAUGUCCUGCAGCUCUGAGGACUCUCACAAUGACAGAACAGCUCUGGACUGCAUCCAGGGUGCUUGGUCUCCAUGUGGCGAAGCAGUUUUGAAGGUUUCAUGGCUUCGUUGGAUAGCCGGUCACCACAUAUUAUACAAAGCGGGCAUGGAGAAUACUCCUCAGAUGUGAGGUGCAGAGGAAGAAGAGAAGGGGCCCAAGGACAGAACCCUGUGGAAGGUGCAAUUAGAGAGGUCAGGGGAGAGAGUCUUAGAAGCCAAGGGAGGACAAGAUAUCAUGAUCAACAGUUCCCAAGGUAGCUGACAAGUUGAGGAGGAUGAGAACGGAGUAGGGUUUGCUUCAGCUUCUGAUACUCGAAUGAAGGUGGAUGCGUCUCCAAAGCCCUCAUCGGUGUCCUUCAGGACUGACAAUUUUCCUGAUCAUAAAACAAAGGCUCUCCACCUCAGGCUGUCAGUUGGCUCUUUGGUGCACAUUCUCCUUCUUUGGACUGGCUGUGGUCUGAAAGUGACAUCAGCCUGCUGACUGGCCGCUGAGCUUUGGAGCUAAGGCUGCCUUGUGCGUCAGGUAAUCCAAUUGAGUUCUUACAUGCCCACUGCCCCACAGAUUCCCAUUCAGCCAGCUGCUAAAAGCUGACUGCUUCAACUGGAGGGUGAACUGUCCCACCCCCCACCC